rnacentral:rRNA from 1 species
UGGGGAAUAUUGGACAAUGGGCGAAAGCCUGAUCCAGCCAUGCCGCGUGUGUGAAGAAGGUCUUCGGAUUGUAAAGCACUUUAAGUUGGGAGGAAGGGCAGUUACCUAAUACGUAAUUGUUUUGACGUUACCGACAGAAUAAGCACCGGCUAACUCUGUGCCAGCAGCCGCGGUAAUACAGAGGGUGCAAGCGUUAAUCGGAAUUACUGGGCGUAAAGCGCGCGUAGGUGGUUUGUUAAGUUGAAUGUGAAAUCCCCGGGCUCAACCUGGGAACUGCAUCCAAAACUGGCAAGCUAGAGUAUGGUAGAGGGUGGUGGAAUUUCCUGUGUAGCGGUGAAAUGCGUAGAUAUAGGAAGGAACACCAGUGGCGAAGGCGACCACCUGGACUGAUACUGACACUGAGGUGCGAAAGCGUGGGGAGCAAACA